AAUGAAAAUUAUGUUUUUUCCUAUUUCAGAGUUUUCAAGUCCGCCAGCAGGACAAGCACAAAAUGGGAUGCUCGGAAGGAGUCCUGGAGUGCAGGCCAAACCUGUCCAUCACAUCCAGUGUUCUUUAAGGGUGGCCAGAGUAGUUGCGAUCAGUGCUGCUGUAGUGAAGAGCUGUCAGGUGUCCACAACAUACGUCUGGAAGAGAAGCCAAGAUCCUUACGGACAUAAAUACUAUUGUUAUUCAUUCUACUCAGCUAUGGAAUGAAUCCUAACAAUUGUCUCUGGUGGCUUGCUGUCAGGAAGGCUUUGGAAAGUUCUUGCAGCACUUCUGCACAUGAAACAGCUGGAGGGAAAGUGUUUCUCUGCAGUGGACUUUCCCAACACAGAGCAGCAUUGUCCCACUUCUCAGAUGAGCAACAAAGUCGGCAUCCUGCAAGUGAUGACUUUGAAAGUUUAACCUAAUUUGUUAAAUGAGUAAG
rnacentral:lncRNA from 1 species